GUGGAAAAGCGAGAUUGUCUUUGACCAUUUGCUAUGGACAUUGUCAGGGAUGGUGCAGCCUGAAUGAGAAUGUCUGCGGUAUUUCCCGAAAUAAGUAUCCCUCAAGGAUGAUACUGUGGACCUCACUCAGGAAGAAUGUGUCCUUCAGGGAAAGCUGCACAGAGACGUGAUGCUGGAGAAGCAGUCAUCUGGUUACUUUAGUACAUGACUUCAGGCUCCUAUGUGCAGAAGUCCUCAACCCCCAGGCUGCAGACCAGUACCUGUCCAUGGCCUGUUAGGAAACUGGCCGCACAGCAGGAGGUG
rnacentral:lncRNA from 10 species